UACGUAGGUGGCAAGCGUUAUCCGGAAUUACUGGGCGUAAAGCGCACGCAGGCGGUCUUUUAAGUUUGACGUGAAAGCUCCCGGCUUAACUGGGAGAGGUCGUUGAAGACUGGGAGACUUGAGGCAAUGAGAGGGGUGUAGAAUUCCCGGUGUAGUGGUGGAAUGCGUAGAUAUCGGGGGGAAUACCAGUGGCGAAAGCGGCACCCUAGCGUUAGCCUGACGCUCAUGUGCGAAAGCGUGGGGAGCGAACGGG
rnacentral:rRNA from 1 species